CUGUAUGUCAUACUAGUGUCACCAUAUUUCUUGGUUAAGAGGAUAACCAAUCCAUAUAGCACACAACGAUCUCCACUUGAUAAACGUCAUCGUCCCGUAAUGACGUAUUAUUUGAUCACGAAUAUGUUUAAGAAAUAUAUGAUAAAUCUUCUCUUUAUCGCACACUAGCAUAGUUCUAAAGACUUCAUCACAGCACAAGAGUUCAAGGAAGAUGUCACUUUGUGAUGAAAAAUAUCAGAAUAAUUUUUAUUCAAUAAUCAAUAAUUCAUGUAUCAGGAUAAACUCAAUCAUCAUAUGAUUGAUUUUAGGAUACAAUUCCCAACAACUCCCACUUGGACUAAAACCAAUCAGGGC
rnacentral:lncRNA from 1 species